AGAGAAUUGACCGAGUGGUUUAAGGUGAUUAGUUUGAAUUUAAUUAUGGGUUAUUCUCAUCAUAGGUUCGAAUCCUAUAUUCUCUG
rfam:Chaetomium globosum CBS 148.51 scaffold_19 mitochondrial scaffold, whole genome shotgun sequence.